GAUGAACGCUGGCGGCGUGCCUAAUACAUGCAAGUCGAGCGAACGGACGAGAAACUUGCUUCUCUGAUGUUAGCGGCGGACGGGGGAGUAACACGUGGAUAACCUACCUAUAAGACUGGGAUAACUUCGGGAAACCGGAGCUAAUACCGGAUAAUAUUUUGAACCGCAUGGUUCAAAAGUGAAAGACGGUCUUGCUGUCACUUAUAGAUGGAUCCGCGCUGCAUUAGCUAGUUGGUAAGGUAACGGCUUACCAAGGCAACGAUGCAUAGCCGACCUGAGAGGGUGAUCGGCCACACUGGAACUGAGACACGGUCCAGACUCCUACGGGAGGCAGCAGUAGGGAAUCUUCCGCAAUGGGCGCAAGCCUGACGGAGCAACGCCGCGUGAGUGAUGAAGGUCUUCGGAUCGUAAAACUCUGUUAUUAGGGAAGAACAUAUGUGUAAGUAACUGUGCACAUAUUGACGGUACCUAAUCAGAAAGCCACGGCUAACUACGUG
rnacentral:rRNA from 1 species